GAUGAACGCUGGCGGCGUGCCUAAUACAUGCAAGUCGAGCGAACAGACGAUGAGCUUGCUCCUCUGACGUUAGCGGCGGACGGGUGAGUAACACGUGUAUAACCUACCUAUAAGACUGGGAUAACCUCGGGAAACCGGAGCUAAUACCGGAUAAUAUAUUGAACCGCAUGGUUCAAUAGUGAAAGACGGUUUUGCUGUCACUUAUCGAUGGAUCCGCGCCGCAUUAUCUAGUUGGUAAGGUAACGGCUUACCAAGGCAACGAUGCGUAGGCGACCUGAGAGGGUGGUCGGCCGCACUGGAACUGAGACGCGGUCCAGACUACUGCGGGAGGCAGCAGUAGGGAAUCUUCCGCAAUGGGCGAAAGCCUUGCGGAGCGACGCCGCGUGAGUGAUGAAGGUCUUCGGAUCGUAAAACUCUGUUAUUAGGGAAGAACAAAUGUGUAAGUAACUAUGCACGGCUUGACGGUACCUAAUCAGAAAGCCACGGCUAACUACGUG
rnacentral:rRNA from 1 species